rnacentral:rRNA from 1 species
UACGUAGGGCGCAAGCGUUGUCCGGAAUUAUUGGGCGUAAAGAGCUCGUAGGCGGUUUGUCGCGUCUGCUGUGAAAACCCGAGGCUCAACCUCGGGCCUGCAGUGGGUACGGGCAGACUAGAGUGUGGUAGGGGAGACUGGAAUUCCUGGUGUAGCGGUGGAAUGCGCAGAUAUCAGGAGGAACACCAAUGGCGAAGGCAGGUCUCUGGGCCACAACUGACGCUGAGGAGCGAAGGCGUGGGGAGCGAACAGG